GACGAACGCUGGCGGCGUGCUUAACACAUGCAAGUCGAACGAAGUGGCGAACGGGUGAGUAACGCGUAAUCAACCUGCCCUUCAGAGGGGGACAACAGUUGGAAACGACUGCUAAUACCGCAUACUGAAGGAGGGGAUUGCGUCUGAUUAGCUCGUUGGGGGGGGAACGGCCCAACAAGGCGAUGAUCAGUAGCCGGUCUGAGAGGAUGAACGGCCAAAUUGGGACUGGAACACGGCCCAGGCUCCUACGGGAGGCCGCAAUGGGGAAUCUUCCGCAAUGGACGAAAGUCUGACGGAACAACGCCGCCUGAGUGAUGACGGGCUUCGGGUUGUAAAGCUCUGUUAAUCGGGGCGCGGUACCGGAAUAGAAAGCCACGGCUAACUACGUGCCAGCAGCCGCGGUAAUUC
rnacentral:rRNA from 1 species